rnacentral:misc_RNA from 1 species
CAUUUCGCAAAUUGACGUGUGAUCUUUGAAGUGCCCGUGAUUGUUGUCUGUAUUCUACGGUACUAAUGCUUUCAACUUGGUUUUUGAAAUUGGCGCAAUGAUUAUCAAUUAUAUUGCUUUCGGUAUGAAUAUUAUUAUUUCCACUCGUUUUGCAAAAUUGACAUUUUAGUCGCUCAGAGACAAUCAAACAGACUACUGCUUCGGGCUCAACUUUGAAAUGAUAUUUUUUUUACAUUUUCUGCUUCCAUGUU